CCCGCUGAACUUAAGCAUAUCAAUAAGCGCAGGAAAAGAAACCAACAGGGAUUGCCUCAGUAACGGCGAGUGAAGCGGCAACAGCUCAAAUUUGAAAUCUGGCCUCUCGGGGUCCGAGUUGUAAUUUGUAGAGGAUGUUUUGGGUACCGCCCCGGUUUAAAUUUCUUGGAACAGAAUGUCAGAGAGGGUGAGAAUCCCGUCUUGGACCGGCGGUAGGGCCUAUGUAAAACUCCUUCGACGAGUCGAGUUGUUUGGGAAUGCAGCUCAAAAUGGGUGGUAAAUUUCAUCUAAAGCUAAAUAUUGGCCAGAGACCGAUAGCGCACAAGUAGAGUGAUCGAAAGAUGAAAAGCACUUUGAAAAGAGAGUUAAACAGUAUGUGAAAUUGUUGAAAGGGAAGCGCUUGCAACCAGACUUGAGCGCGGCGGUUCCCCUAGCCUUUUGGCUAGGUUACUCCGCCGUGUCCAGGCCAACAUCGGUUCUGAGGGUCGGUCAAAGGCCUUGGGAAUGUAUCUACCUACGGGUAGACUUAUAGACCAGGGUGUCAUGCGGCCUCUCGGGACCGAGGAACGCGCUUCGGCUCGGAUGUUGGCGUAAUGGUUGUCAGCGACCCGUCUUGAAACACGG
rnacentral:rRNA from 1 species